rnacentral:lncRNA from 1 species
GGACUGCAGUUCUUGCCGAGCAGGUGGGGACAGGAGCGGGGUGGGGCUUUAGUGUUUUUCCCUGGAUCCCUUGUCUGCUCAGCCUUCCUGGAAGGAGAAUUUCCUUGGGGGUUAUUAGUAGCAACGCUUUAGACUGGAAGAAAGUCAAGUAGGCUGCAUUUCUGAUCUUAGCUAUGUGAAGGCAACCUUUAAAAAGUUUGUUUAGAAACUCCCAGUUCUCUUAGAGGGUAAUAUAAGUGGUCUUUUUAGACAUGUGUGGCCUCAUUUCCCUUUUUUUUCUUUGAGACAAGGUCUCACUCUCGCCCAGGCUGGAGUGCAAUGGCGCGAUCUCGGCUCACUGCAACCUCCACCUCCCAGACUCAAGCUAUUCUCCUGCCUCAGCCUCCUGAGUAGCUGGGACCACAAGGGUGCGCCACCACGCCCGGCUAAUUUUUGUAUUUUGGUGGAGACAGGGUUUCACCAUGUUGCCCAGGCUCUCUCAAACUCCUGAGCUCAAGCCAAGCCAUCUGCCUCGGCCUCCUAAAGUGCUGGGAUUACAGGCAUGUGCCACCGCACUGGACUUAUGUGGCCUUAUUUCAUUCGUCCUGUAAACUUUGUUGAACCCUACCGUAAUGUGCUGGGCACUGAAGGUACAGAGAAAGACAUAUCUUGUCUUCAAGUUGUGUACAGUCUAAUAGAGUAGCGGAUAAAUAAAUGAUGUACACUUAAUAGGUGUUAAAGAAGCAAGCACCGCAAGUUUUAAGGAGGAGUGGUUAUGACUGUGGUGUUUCAACCUAGUCUAGGGAAGGCUGCAGGAAGGUUAUACCUGAUGGAAGAAAUUGUUUUGUUUGGGGUUAUGAGAAAGUUUAAUACAGUUUUUCUGCUUCUGUUAAUUCACCUAAAAAUCUCCCAGACAGAUAACGAGUGUUUCAGUAAAAAUAUAACUGGAAGAAAUUCAUGACAAUUCCUUUAUGUGUUUUGUUUAUAAUUCAUCCAGCUACUGAAAAUUACCAAGGAGAGGUAGGAGAUAAGAGAUGCCUAUAAAGGAGCUGAAAUCUACCAGGUCGCAAUGAUUUGUAUGACAGCUGCUAGCCCAAGAGAGAGUUCCAGAAGAGGGCUACCUAACAGGUGCUGUGGCAUUUAGAAGAGGAAUGGAGCCAUUGUCAACGCACAGCUUGCAGGGGAGCAGGAGAGUCAGUCUAAGAAGGAAAUGUGAUGAUGGAAACAGAGGUUGGAAGAUGGAAGAGGACCCAGAGUCAAGGAAUGCAGAAUCAAGGCCAUCAAGCGACAGAUGUUCUUACAAAUGGAACACCAAUUGAGUUCAACUUACAACUUCUACUGAGGACCCCUGGACCGACGUGCUGGCACUUCCCCUGGCCUAGAGAGUUCCCCUCUGAAAGACACUACAACUGCAGGGCCCCUUCUUUGCCCCUAUCCAGCAGGAAGUAGCUAGAGCGGUCAUCAGCCAAAUUCCCAACAGCAGUUGGGGUGUCCUGUUUAGAGGGGGGAUUGAGAGGUGACAGCGUGCUGGCAGCCCUCGCAACCCUCGCUUGCUCUUGGUGCCUCCUCUGCCUGGCUCCCACUUUGGCAGCACUUGAGGAGCUCUUCAGCCCACCGCUGCACUGUGGGAGCCCCUUUCUGGGCUGGCCAAGGCUGGAGCUGGCUCCCUCAGCUUGCAGGGAGGUGUGGAGGGAGAGGCAUGGGCGGGAACCAGGGCUGCGCAUGGCGCUUGCUGGCCAGUGAGAGUUCCGGGUGGGCGUGGGCUCGGCGGGUCCCCGCACUCAGAGCAGCCAGCUGGCCCCGCCUGCCCCGGGCAGUGAGGGGCUUAGCACCUGUGCCAGCAGCUGCUGUGCUCUACUUCUCGCCGGGCCUUAGCUGCCUCCCCGUGGGGCAGGGCUUGGGACCUGCAGCCCACCAUGCCUGAGCCUCCCUCGCCUCUGUGGGCUUCUGUGUGGCCCGAGCCCCCCCGACGAGCACCACCCUCUGCUCCAUGGCGCCCAGUCCCAUCGACCACCCAAGGGCUGAGGAGUGCGGUUACACAGCGUGGGACUGACAGGCAGCUCCACCUGCGGCCCUGGUGCAGGAUCCACUGGGUGAAGCCAGCUGGGCUCCUGACUCUGGUGGGGAGUUGGAGAACCUUUAUGUCUAGCUAAGGGAUUGUAAAUACACCAAUAGGCACUCUGUAUCUAGCUCAAGGUUUGUAAACACACCAAUCAGCACCCUGUGUCUAGCUCAGGGUUUGUGAAUGUAACAAUUGACACUAUGUAUCCAGCUACUCUGGUGGGGACUUGGAGAACCUUUGUAUCUAGCUAGGGGAUUGUAAAUACACCAAUCGGCAUUCUGUAUCUAGCUCAAGGUUUGUAAACACACCAAUCAGCACCCUGUGUCUAGCUCAGGGUUUGUGAAUACACCAAUUGACACUGUGUAUCUAGCUACUCUAGUGGGGACGUGGAGAACCUUUGUGUCUAGCUCAGGGAUUGUAAACGCACCAAUCAGUGCCCUGUCAAAACAGACCACUCGGCUCUCUGUAAAAUGGACCAAUCAGCAGGAUGUGGGUGGGGCCAGAUAAGAGAAUAAAAGCAGGCUGCCCCAGCCAGCAGUGGCAACCCGCUUGGGUCCCCUUCCACACUGUGGAAGCUUUGUUCUUUUGCUCUUUGCAGUAAGUCUUGCUGCUGCUCACUCUUUGGGUCCACACUGCCUUUAUGAGCUGUAACACUCACGGCGAAGGUCUGCAGCUUUACUCCUGAAGCCAGCAAGACCACAAACCCACCGGGAGGAACAAACACCUCCAGAUGCACUGCCUUAAGAGCUGUAACACUCACCGCAAAGGUCCGCAGCUUCACUCCUGAGCCAGCGAGACCAUGAACCCCACCAGAAGGAAGAAACUCCAAACACAUCCAAACAUCAGAAGGAACAAACUCUGGACACGCUGCCUUUAAGAACUGUAACACUCACCGCGAGGGUCUGCGGCUUCAUUCUUGAAGUCAGUGAGACCAAGAACCCACCAACCAGACACAUUAGGACCCCUCGGAUAGUGACAGAUCUGGAGGACGGUUGUCUGGGACAGGAGAGUAAGACUGAGAAGGCCACGUCAAUGUCCAGGAGACAGUUAAUCUCCUGGCCCUCAAUGAUCAAGCAUACCUGGGGCUCUGUGAGGGUGAUGGCAUGGGCUGGCACUUGCCCUGGGCACCCUCAGUCCUGCUGCUGGAUCAUCGGGUUAGUGGCUUCUGACUCAGAGGACCUUUGUCCCCUGGGGCAGCGGCCUUCCAUUGAGUCCCUUGACAUAAGGGGCACGGAUGAGGAGGCGGCUUACUUCUAUUCUGACAAUCUUUUUAAAAGUGUCCUUGUAGACCACACUGGAAGCAAGUCCUAUUAGGCAUUCAAUUUGCCCAGACUUUCCGUGUUCCAAAGCCUCCAAUGUCUGCUUGCCUAAGGGCCAUGACUAAAGCGGUGGCCUUUUUCUUAUCUCAUUUGUCCCCUUCCUCCUGCUCCUCCUGAUCUCUAUUAUAAAAAACCGAGGUUGUGAAAUCAAUAGGGUUCCUAAGUUUUGCUCCGGGCCUAAGGUGGACUUUUGAUGUUUUUUCUAAUGUCUGCAGCUAACUGAGUGAUAAACUUAUCCUUUAAGAUUAGUUGGCCUUCAAUAGAGUCCGGUGACAGAGUGGUAUGCUUCCUCAAUGCCUCCCUUAGUCUCUCCAGAAAGGCAGUAGGAUUUUCUUCCUUUCCCUGUGUGAUAGUGGACACCAUUGAAUAAUGUAUAGGCUUCUUCCUACUUUUCCUUAGUCCUUCUAGCAUGCAAGUUAGUAAAUGUCUGUGGCACCAAUCUCCAUGUAUUCUGCGUCCCAGUGAGGGUCUACACUGGGCUUUUUGAUUCUGUAAGUACUUUAAGGGUUGGCCGAGUGCAAACAGCUCCCAUGUUUGAGCAGACCAAUUAUUAGGCAAUUUUCCUAACUCUGCUUCCGCAAGAGUCUCCCUAUCAAUUACUGCAUACCCAUUGUGUUUUUUUUUUUUCCCUCAGUCACCCGGGAGGAACCAUCUAUCAUCCUGCCUUGAAGGUAGUUUCUGCUGGAUCUGGUCAGACCUUUGUAUGCUUUUAAAGAAAUAGGGUACACUUUUUUCUUUACUACUUCUAUCUUUCUCUUUCUCUCUUUCUUUCUCCUUUCUGUCUUUGUAGAUGGAUUUUGGAAACCCAGUGGAAGGAUGUUCGCUCAUUGCCCCCAUUUGCCACUAUAGGACUAUGCGCCUCCCUUUUAUUUACUCAAUUUGCUUUUAUCCUGAUCUAUUAUGUUGUUGUAGACCCAGUUCCAGUUGUUACAAUACUGGGUUAUCAGUUCUAAGGCCCUGGCAAGGGUGGUGUGGAACAGGUCCCACAUAACUGCCCAUGUCGAGAGCUCUAAGCCUAAAUUGGGAGGGACACCAGGGACAAGACUCCUGGGUUCAUAGCCUAGGGGCCUAAGGUCGCAGCAUAGAGCUUCCUUAGAUCCCUUUGGAGAUACUAAUACUUGGGAGAGGAAGUGAAAGUCUGAAGCAUUAGUAUCUAGGAGGCAGGGAUCAGAGGAAGUAGAUUCAGAGGUAAGGAGAAUUUUGGGGCUACACUUUCAAGAAAGUUGUGGUCAGGACCCAGGAGGUAUGGGUCAGAAGGAAAGGUAGAGGCACACGCACGGGUGACUGUUGAGUAGGGACUUCUGGCUGCGCCAUGAUCUCAACCGGCUAAUGCCGAGAGUUUGGGAUGACAGCUUUCUGCCUCUAGUCGGCCCCCGGCUUCCCCAGGGAAAUUGAAAGUGGAAGCUGGUUCCAGGUAGACCAGCGCUUCCAACCCAGAAGCGUUGGGGGUUGUUAGAAAGCCAUUCCCCAGACAGCCUCACACUUGAGUCUUAAGUCUGGUGGCCGCCCUAUCGUUUUUAACCGUCCGACAGGUGCCUGGUAUUUUCCUCCAAUUCUAAGGAAGGGUAGAACAGAAUAGCAAGCGAAAGCGCUUUGGAGGUCCCUUCAUGAUUGCCAAAAUGUUACCAGGGAGUCCUUGUUCUUAGAGCUCCAAAGAUGAUGGUGGGCCGCUUCCAUGAUGGCGGCAAGCCUCUUGUUCUCUGACCUGGGGUUCCUGGCCUCACGGAUACUAAGGAAUGGAAUCUUGGGCCAUGCAUUGAGUGUUAUAGCUCUAUUCAGCCCAAUUAGGAUGAACCCCAGGCACUUAGCCCGCGCAGGAACAAUGGCAAGCCUCUAGCCCGAUUGGGAGCAGCAAUGGACACUGCCUCGCUGGAUCACAAGUGCAGCAGAUCCACCCCUGCCAGAUCCAGAGGGUUGGAAGUCAGCUGCGGGUCUGCAAUGACGGCAAACAGUGGUGGACGGCGAGUGAAAGCUCAGCUCGAGCCAUAAAAAACACAGACCAGAAGAGUGUGCAGUUGCAAGAUUUAAUAGAGUGAAAACAGAGCUCCCAUAAAAUGGGAGGGGACACAAAGGGGGUUGCCCUUCAUUCUGUUUUUCAUAAGGACUGUACUAAUUUACACUCCCACCAACAGUGAAUAAGGGUUCCAUUUUUUGCACGUCCUUGCCAACACAUCUUAUCUUCUGUGUUUUUGAUAGUAGUCAUUCUAAUAGGCAUGAAGUGAUAUCUCAUUGUGGUUUUAAUUUGCAUUUCCCUGAUGAUUUGUGAUGUUGAAUAUUUUUUUCAUAUACCUACUAGCCAUUUGUAUGUCUUCAUUUGAGAAAUUCUAUUCAAGUCGUCUGACCAGUUUUUAAUUAGGUUAUUUGCUUUCUUACUAUUGAGUUGUUUCAAUUCCUUAUAUAUUUUGGAUAUUAACCCCUUGUCAGAUGUUUGGUUUGCAAAUAUAUUUUCUCAUUCUGCAGGUUGUCUCCUUACUCUGUUCAUUAUUUUUGUAGUUAUGCAGAAGCUUUGUAGUUUGAUGUAAUCCCAGUUGUCCAAUUUUGCUUUUGUUGCUUGUCAUUUGGGGACAUACCCAUAAUUGAUCUUAGCCAAAAGGCUGAGAAGUGAUUUGGGUCAUAUUAAAAAAUAUCAUUGCCAAGACCAAUAUAAUGGAGUUUUUUUCUAGGUUUUCUUCUGGUAAGUUUAUAGUUUCAGGUCUUAUGUUUAAGUCUUUAAUCCAUUUUGAGUUGACUUUUUUACAAAGUGUGAGAUGAGGGUCUAGUUAAUUUUUUUUUUUUGUAAAUUGACAAAUUAUAGUUGUAUAUAUUUAUGGGGUACAAAGCAAUGUUUUGGUUUAUUAAUACAAUGUGGAAUAAUUAAAUCUAGGUUGAUAUUAAAUCAAUAAAAUUGACAUCCAUCACUUUAAAUACUUAUUUUUUUGUCAUGAAACAUUUGAAGUUUACUGUUUUAGUGAUUUUGAAUUGCACAGUACACUAGAAUUAACUAUAUACGUCAUGCUGAUGUAAUAGAUUUCAAAAAACAAACACUUAUUCCUCCUGUUCAACUGAGGCUUUGUACCUUUUGACAGUCAUCUCCCAUUCACCCAAACCCCUAGCCUCUGGUAGCCAUCAUUCUACUCUCUGCGUCUAUAAAUUUGAUUGCUUUAGAUUCCACAUAUAAGUGAGAACCUAUGGUAUUUGUCUUUGUGUGUCUGGCUUAUUCCACUUAGCACAGUGUUCUCCAGUUCCAUCCAUGUUGUUGCAGAUGACAAAAUCUCUUUCUUUUUAGUUUCCAUUAUUUUAUUUUAUUUUAUUUUAUUUUAUUUUAUUUUAUUUUAUUUUAUUUAUAUGUUUGUUAUGUUAUGUCAUGUUAUGUUAUGUUAUGUUUGUUAUGUUAUGUUAUGUUAUGUAUGUUAUGUUAUUUUUUGAGACAGGGUCUUCUUGUUCCUUUGCCCUGGCUGGAGUGCAGUGACAUGAUC